rnacentral:snRNA from 1 species
GGGUUCGCUGCAGAGCUCGGGCUUAUUGGUCGACCUUAACAGCGAAGCAAUGUCCGACAGCGGGCUACUGCUCCCGGGAUGGGCCAUCAGCGUCAUUGCGACGCUGUGCUUCGUGCUGCUCACGGCCGUGGUCCUCUGGAUCUGCUGCCGCCCGGACAAGAAGCCCAAGAAGGGCACCCAGGU